CCCUGUGAGUCUGUUUGUUUCUGUGAGGUUGGCAGUGACAUGCCUCUUCCGCUCGUCUGAACUUUCUCUUUUUCUUCACCAGGCUGCCUAAGGGGUUGUCUGUUUUUGAAGUGGACCUGGUGGCAGAGCCUGCUGCAAAGACAUCACCUGACAGCGGCUGGCAUCACUGAGAGCGUUCUGUGCUCCACCUGGAUGCUAAGCGGACCAGCUGUCGCUACUAUCACUGGCCUCGUUUGCUAGAUGAGGGAAUGAGGGAAUAGAGAGGGGAGGGUUAGAGCCCGCCAUCAUCACGGAGGGCGCCGGCAGCCUGACUCCAAGGCCCGCUUCACCUCUGCACUUUGACCCUGCGAUCUGUGAGCUCGACCACCAAAAAUGCUGCUUAAGAAGGGCCUUCGACCAUUUCAUCAUUUCCUCUCCUUAAACACUGAGUGGUCUUUGGCCGAGAAAAGUAUCCAGAUGCACCGUAGCUGAACUGACUUAGAAGCAAAACCCAGUGCUCCUGGAGAGGCCUUGGAAAAAUGUGUCCUCAGCCAGAGCUGCAGCAUGGGCUGAUGCGGAAACGCAGCCGUGUGUGGCACACGGUGACCCUAUUCAUGAGCUCGGGCACUGAAACCUUCCCCAGGUCAUUUUCUGAAACACCAGGGGUACCCGAGUGAUGAGGAGACAGCUUUAUAAUCAGACUCGCCCCCCACCCCCAAGUCCAAACUCCAGCACCAAGAUGCUCUGCCAUCGAAGAAGCCUGUAGCCUCUCAAGGGCAGCAACUACCUGGAGAUUCACAGUUCCUCUCCGGGAAACAGGACCCCUGUGCACGCCACAUCUGCAGCCUCUUCACCAUCCUCUGUGGAGGCUUCUGCCUGGAGUCCCAGCACUAGGCGGACUGAGGGAGGAGGAGCCCUUGAGCCCAGGAGUUGGAAGCCCAGCGUGGACCACAUUGUCAGACCACCCCCAUCCCAGAUAAGUAGUUGAAUAAACAAGCAAACAAACAAAUGAAAUACGGUGUCUUUUUGAAAUAACCUGUGUGUGUUCUCCUGCAUGCUUUAAAUCUCCUCUAACAUCGAA